AUUUCUUUAUGAGGAAACUCAAGACAGGUUGCUGAAACCUUGCUGAGCCAACUGGAAGGGUGUUUGAAGUCUUGGCCACUACCUAUUUAUUCCUUGCUAUUGAGUAUCUCACGUAUGAGUCUUCUACCAAUUCAGUGACAUACAAAGUACACCAAAUUUCAGAAAGAAAGAUUUUUCUGUGUGCCAUAAAUCUUGUGAUAAUAUUUGUCAUUAGCUCAAGCACUGAUCCAUAGUUCAAAGGAAAUUUACACUUCAACUGAGUAAGACAGGUUUUUAUCUUCUUAAAUCAUGGUAUCAGAGGCUGGAAGAAAAAUAGGCAAAAAAAAAAGUAAGGUUGAAUUACCUUGUUUAUUCAGCUCUCUCACAUCUUCCCAAGAACUCAACAGUGACAGUGGGCCUGAAGGAUCAGUAAGUAUUUAUAGGAGGCAUCUCUUGUGGUGGCUCCACAUUGCAGGGUUCCCGUCUUGAAGGAGCCACUCCAUGCGCAGAUCUGUGCUCUGUUUGUGCUCUCUCUCCACCCUGACAGCCAUCUCCAUGUUAGGAAAGAGUCUCCUGGACCAUGGCUCACUGGCACAGGCCUUUCAUCUUACCUAAGGGAGGUGAGCUGGGAACCAGUUCCUCCUCCAAAGCUGUGGAAAACCAAGAAGCCCUGAAGACCUGUGCACUGGUCAGCCAGUUUCUGAAUUUGGUUCAAGACAAGAUUGUAGUUUCAUCAAGGCAGGAACCAGGUGGAUCUUGCCCAUGGUUUAUGUCUGAGGCUUUGGACACUGCCCUAUACAACAUAAGUUUUACUUUGUGUGAAAUACCACGCUGAACAUUGGUGACCUGGAGAUAUAGAAG
rnacentral:lncRNA from 1 species